CGAACGGGUGAGUAACGCGUGAGGAACCUGCCUCAAAGAGGGGGACAACAGUUGGAAACGACUGCUAAUACCGCAUAAGCCCACGGCUCGGCAUCGAGCAGAGGGAAAAGGAGCAAUCCGCUUUGAGAUGGCCUCGCGUCCGAUUAGCUGUUGGUGAGGUAACGGCCCACCAAGGCGACGAUCGGUAGCCGGACUGAGAGGUUGAACGGCCACAUUGGGACUGAGACACGGCCCAG
rnacentral:rRNA from 1 species